AUAAAUAUACCAGUGGCAGUAUCGUAGCCAAUGAGGUUAAUCUGAGGCGCGAUUAUUGCUAACUGAAAACUAAAAAAGAAAAAUUGGUAAGUAAAUAUACCACAAAAUAUUUAACCAUUCACCUGUUGAG
rfam:Callithrix jacchus chromosome 19, whole genome shotgun sequence